rnacentral:rRNA from 1 species
AUUGAACGCUGGCGGCAGGCCUAACACAUGCAAGUCGAACGAGUGGCGGACGGGUGAGUAAUGUCUGGGAAACUGCCUGAUGGAGGGGGAUAACUCCUGGAAACGGUAUCUAAUACCGCAUCCCAUCAGCUGUUCCCAGAUGGGAUUAGCUUGUUGGUGGGGUAACGGCUCACCAAGGAGACGAUCCCUAGCUGGUCUGAGAGGAUGACCUGACACCCUGGAACGGAGACACGGUCCAGACUCCGACGUGAGGCAGCAUUGGUGAAUAUUGCACAAUGGGCGCAAGCCUGAUGCAGCCAUGCCGCGUGUAUGAAGAAGGCCUUCGGGUUGUAAAGUACUUUCAGCGGGGAGGCGUUACCCGCAGAAGAAGCAGCGGCUAACUCCGUGCCAGCCGCCGCGGUAAUUC